UCCGUAGGUGAACCUGCGGAAGGAUCAUUCAUAAUCAAGUGUUUUUAUGGCACUUUCAAAAAUCCAUAUCCACCUUGUGUGCAAUGUCAUCUCACUGGAGGUCAACGGCUGUAAAAAUCCGUUGGUCACCUUUGGGAUUUAUAUCUACUCAGAACUUUAGUGAUUUUGUCUGAAACAUAUUAUGAAUACUUAAUUCAAAAUACAACUUUCAACAACGGAUCUCUUGGCUCUCGCAUCGAUGAAGAACGCAGCGAAAUGCGAUACGUAAUGUGAAUUGCAGAAUUCAGUGAAUCAUCGAAUCUUUGAACGCAUAUUGCGCUCUCUGGUAUUCCGGAGAGCAUGCUUGUUUGAGUAUCAGUAAACACCUCAACUCCCCUUUCUUUUUUGAAAUGGGAGCUGGACUUGAGUGAUCCCAACGCUUUUCUCACCGAAAAGUGGCGGGUUACUUGAAAUGCAGGUGCAGCUGGACUUUUCUCUGAGCUAAAAGCAUAUCUAUUUAGUCUGCCUAAAAAACAGAUUAUUACCUUUGCUGCAGCUAACAUAAAGGAGAUUAGUUCUUGUGCUGACUGAUGCAGGAUUCACAGAGACAGCUUCGGCUAGCUUUGUAAACUCGAUCUCAAAUCAAGUAAGACUACCCGCUGAACUUAAGCAUAUCAAUAAGCGGAGGAAAAGAAACUAACAAGGAUUCCCCUAGUAACGGCGAGUGAAGCGGGAUGAGCUCAAAUUUAAAAUCUGGCUGGUUUACUAGUCCGAAUUGUAGUUUAAAGAAGCGUUUUCGGUGGCAGCCUGGGUAUAAAUCCUUUGGAACAGGGUAUCAUAGGGGGUGAGAAUCCCGUCUUUGACUCAGUGCAUGCUACUAUGUGAUACGUUUUCAAAGAGUCGAGUUGUUUGGGAAUGCAGCUCAAAAUGGGUGGUAAAUUUCAUCUAAAGCUAAAUAUUGGCGAGAGACCGAUAGCGAACAAGUACCGUGAGGGAAAGAUGAAAAGAACUUUGAAAAGAGAGUUAAACAGUGCGUGAAAUUGUUGAAAGGGAAACGCUUGAAGU
rnacentral:sRNA from 1 species